CCUACGGGGUGCUGCAGUGGGGAAUAUUGGACAAUGGGCGAAAGCCUGAUCCAGCCAUGCCGCGUGUGUGAAGAAGGCCUUCGGGUUGUAAAGCACUUUCAGUGGGGAAGAAAGCCUUGGGGCUAAUACCCUCGAGGAAGGACAUCACCCACAGAAGAAGCACCGGCUAACUCCGUGCCAGCAGCCGCGGUAAUACGGAGGGUGCGAGCGUUAAUCGGAAUUACUGGGCGUAAAGCGCGCGUAGGCGGUCUGAUAAGCCGGUUGUGAAAGCCCCGGGCUCAACCUGGGAACGGCAUCCGGAACUGUCAGGCUAGAGUGCAGGAGAGGAAGGUAGAAUUCCCGGUGUAGCAGUGAAAUGCGUAGAGAUCGGGAGGAAUACCAGUGGCGAAGGCGGCCUUCUGGACUGACACUGACGCUGAGGUGCGAAAGCGUGGGUAGCAAACAGGAUUAGAUACCCUUGUAGUC
rnacentral:rRNA from 1 species